rnacentral:rRNA from 1 species
UCGCGAAAACUUCACAAUGGGGGCAACCCCGAUGAGGGAAUUCCUAGUGCUAGCACAUUUGUGUUAGCUUUUCUUUAGCUUAGAAAACUAGAGGAAUAAGGGCUGGGUAAGACGGGUGCCAGCCGCCGCGGUAAUACCUGCAGCCCAAGUGGUGGUCGAUUUUAUUGAGUCUAAAACGUUCGUAGCCGGUUCGGUAAAUCUUUGGGUAAAUCGGGGGGCUUAACCUUCCGACUUCCGAGGAGACUGCCGAACUUGGGACCGGGAGAGGCUAGAGGUACUUCUGGGGUAGGGGUAAAAUCCUGUAAUCCUAGAAGGACCACCGGUGGCCAAGGCGUCUAGCUAGAACGGAUCCGACGGUGAGGGACGAAGCCCUGGGUCGCAAACGGGAUUAGAUACCCCGGUAGUCCAGGGUGUAAACGCUGCAGACUUGGUGUUGGAGGCCCUUUGGGGGCAUUCAGUGCCGGAGAGAAGUUGUUAAGUCUGCUACUUGGGGAGUACGUCCGCAAGGAUGAAACUUAAAGGAAUUGGCGGGGGAGCACCGCAACGGGAGGAGCGUGCGGUUUAAUUGGAUUCAACACCGUAAAACUCACCAGGGAAGACUGUUACAUGAAGGCCGGGCUAAAGACUCUGCCAGAUUUUCA